rnacentral:rRNA from 1 species
ACGAACGCUGGCGGCAUGCCUAACACAUGCCAGUCGAACGAGACCUUCGGGUCUAGUGGCGCACGGGUGCGUAACGCGUGGGAACCUGCCUUUAGGUUCGGAAUAACUCAGAGAAAUUUGAGCUAAUACCGGAUGAUGUCUUCGGACCAAAGAUUUGUCGCCUUUAGAUGGGCCCGCGUUGGAUUAGCUAGUUGGUGGGGUAAAGGCCUACCAAGGCGACGAUCCAUAGCUGGUCUGAGAGGAUGAUCAGCCACACUGGGACUGAGACACGGCCCAGACUCCUACGGGAGGCAGCAGUGGGGAAUAUUGGACAAUGGGCGAAAGCCUGAUCCAGCAAUGCCGCGUGAGUGAUGAAGGCCUUAGGGUUGUAAAGCUCUUUUACCCGAGAUGAUAAUGACAGUAUCGGGAGAAUAAGCUCCGGCUAACUCCGUG